UACGUAGGUGGCAAGCGUUGUCCGGAUUUACUGGGCGUAAAGAGCGCGCAGGCGGCUGGUCAAGUCCGAUGUGAAAUCUCCCGGCUUAACUGGGAAACUGCAUCGGAAACUGAUCGGCUUGAAGGUGGGAGAGGGUAGUGGAAUUCCCGGUGUAGUGGUGAAAUGCGUAGAUAUCGGGAGGAACACCAGUGGCGAAGGCGGCUACCUGGACCGGUUCUGACGCUGAUGCGCGAAAGCGUGGGUAGCAAACAGG
rnacentral:rRNA from 1 species